rnacentral:snoRNA from 1 species
AUAUGGUGAUGAUCGCAAUCUUUGGUCCGUGUUUAUGAGGUGGACUCAAGACCCACCGCGUGAGUGACAAAGAGGAUUUAAAAUCGUUUCUGAAUAU